AUUGAACGCUGGCGGCAGGCUUAACACAUGCAAGUCGAGCGGGGUGAUGGUGCUUGCACUAUCACUUAGCGGCGGACGGGUGAGUAAUGCUUAGGAAUCUGCCUAUUAGUGGGGGACAACAUCUCGAAAGGGAUGCUAAUACCGCAUACGUCCUACGAGAGAAAGCAGGGGAUCACUUGUGACCUUGAGCUAAUAGAUGAGCCUAAGUCGGAUUAGCUAGUUGGUGGGGUAAAGGCCUACCAAGGCGACGAUCUGUAGCGGGUCUGAGAGGAUGAUCCGCCACACUGGGACUGAGACACGGCCCAGACUCCUACGGGAGGCAGCAGUGGGGAAUAUUGGACAAUGGGGGGAACCCUGACCCAGCCAUGCCGCGUGUGUGAAGAAGGCCUUAUGGUUGUAAAGCACUUUAAGCGAGGAGGAGGCUCUUUUGGUUAAUACCCAAGAUGAGUGGACGUUACUCGCAGAAUAAGCACCGGCUAACUCUGUGCCAGCAGCCGCCGUAA
rnacentral:rRNA from 1 species